CAAGUUUGAUCAUGGCUCAGGAUGAACGCUUGCGGCGUGCUUAACACAUGCAAGUCGAACGAAGCACUUUAUUACGAUUUCUUCGGAAUGACGAUUUAGUGACUGAGUGGCGGACGGGUGAGUAACGCGUGGGUAACCUGCCUUAUACAGGGGGAUAACAGUUAGAAAUGACUGCUAAUACCGCAUAAGCGCACAGGAUUGCAUGAUCUGGUGUGAAAAACUCCGGUGGUAUAAGAUGGACCCGCG
rnacentral:rRNA from 1 species